GCCGGGUGCAGUGGUGCACCCCUGUCAUCCCAGAGAAUGGGGAGGCUGAGGCAGGAGGAUCACAAGUUCAAGACCAGCCUCAGCAACUUAGUGAGGACCAAAGCAACUUAAAUGAGGCUCUAUGCAACUUCGUGAGACCCUGUCUCCU
rnacentral:sRNA from 1 species